rnacentral:rRNA from 1 species
ACUAAGCGUACACGGUGGAUGCCCUGGCAGUCAGAGGCGAUGAAGGACGUGCUAAUCUGCGAUAAGCGUCGGUAAGGUGAUAUGAACCGUUAUAACCGGCGAUUUCCGAAUGGGGAAACCCAGUGUGAUUCGUCACACUAUCAUUAACUGAAUCCAUAGGUUAAUGAGGCGAACCGGGGGAACUGAAACAUCUAAGUACCCCGAGGAAAAGAAAUCAACCGAGAUUCCCCCAGUAGCGGCGAGCGAACGGGGAGCAGCCCAGAGCCUGAAUCAGUGUGUGUGUUAGUGGAAGCGUCUGGAAAGGCGCGCGAUACAGGGUGACAGCCCCGUACACAAAAAUGCACAUGCUGUGAGCUCGAUGAGUAGGGCGGGACACGUGGUAUCCUGUCUGAAUAUGGGGGGACCAUCCUCCAAGGCUAAAUACUCCUGACUGACCGAUAGUGAACCAGUACCGUGAGGGAAAGGCGAAAAGAACCCCGGCGAGGGGAGUGAAAAAGAACCUGAAACCGUGUGGGAGCACGCUUAGGCGUGUGACUGCGUACCUUUUGUAUAAUGGGUCAGCGACUUAUAUUCUGUAGCAAGGUUAACCGAAUAGGGGAGCCGAAGGGAAACCGAGUCUUAACUGGGCGUUAAGUUGCAGGGUAUAGACCCGAAACCCGGUGAUCUAGCCAUGGGCAGGUUGAAGGUUGGGUAACACUAACUGGAGGACCGAACCGACUAAUGUUGAAAAAUUAGCGGAUGACUUGUGGCUGGGGGUGAAAGGCCAAUCAAACCGGGAGAUAGCUGGUUCUCCCCGAAAGCUAUUUAGGUAGCGCCUCGUGAAUUCAUCUCCGGGGGUAGAGCACUGUUUCGGCAAGGGGGUCAUCCCGACUUACCAACCCGAUGCAAACUGCGAAUACCGGAGAAUGUUAUCACGGGAGACACACGGCGGGUGCUAACGUCCGUCGUGAAGAGGGAAACAACCCAGACCGCCAGCUAAGGUCCCAAAGUCAUGGUUAAGUGGGAAACGAUGUGGGAAGGCCCAGACAGCCAGGAUGUUGGCUUAGAAGCAGCCAUCAUUUAAAGAAAGCGUAAUAGCUCACUGGUCGAGUCGGCCUGCGCGGAAGAUGUAACGGGGCUAAACCAUGCACCGAAGCUGCGGCAGCGACGCUUAUGCGUUGUUGGGUAGGGGAGCGUUCUGUAAGCCUGUGAAGGUGUACUGUGAGGUAUGCUGGAGGUAUCAGAAGUGCGAAUGCUGACAUAAGUAACGAUAAAGCGGGUGAAAAGCCCGCUCGCCGGAAGACCAAGGGUUCCUGUCCAACGUUAAUCGGGGCAGGGUGAGUCGACCCCUAAGGCGAGGCCGAAAGGCGUAGUCGAUGGGAAACAGGUUAAUAUUCCUGUACUUGGUGUUACUGCGAAGGGGGGACGGAGAAGGCUAUGUUGGCCGGGCGACGGUUGUCCCGGUUUAAGCGUGUAGGCUGGUUUUCCAGGCAAAUCCGGAAAAUCAAGGCUGAGGCGUGAUGACGAGGCACUACGGUGCUGAAGCAACAAAUGCCCUGCUUCCAGGAAAAGCCUCUAAGCAUCAGGUAACAUCAAAUCGUACCCCAAACCGACACAGGUGGUCAGGUAGAGAAUACCAAGGCGCUUGAGAGAACUCGGGUGAAGGAACUAGGCAAAAUGGUGCCGUAACUUCGGGAGAAGGCACGCUGAUAUGUAGGUGAAGUCCCUCGCGGAUGGAGCUGAAAUCAGUCGAAGAUACCAGCUGGCUGCAACUGUUUAUUAAAAACACAGCACUGUGCAAACACGAAAGUGGACGUAUACGGUGUGACGCCUGCCCGGUGCCGGAAGGUUAAUUGAUGGGGUCAGCGCAAGCGAAGCUCUUGAUCGAAGCCCCGGUAAACGGCGGCCGUAACUAUAACGGUCCUAAGGUAGCGAAAUUCCUUGUCGGGUAAGUUCCGACCUGCACGAAUGGCGUAAUGAUGGCCAGGCUGUCUCCACCCGAGACUCAGUGAAAUUGAACUCGCUGUGAAGAUGCAGUGUACCCGCGGCAAGACGGAAAGACCCCGUGAACCUUUACUAUAGCUUGACACUGAACAUUGAGCCUUGAUGUGUAGGAUAGGUGGGAGGCUUUGAAGUGUGGACGCCAGUCUGCAUGGAGCCGACCUUGAAAUACCACCCUUUAAUGUUUGAUGUUCUAACGUGGACCCGUGAUCCGGGUUGCGGACAGUGUCUGGUGGGUAGUUUGACUGGGGCGGUCUCCUCCUAAAGAGUAACGGAGGAGCACGAAGGUUGGCUAAUCCUGGUCGGACAUCAGGAGGUUAGUGCAAUGGCAUAAGCCAGCUUGACUGCGAGCGUGACGGCGCGAGCAGGUGCGAAAGCAGGUCAUAGUGAUCCGGUGGUUCUGAAUGGAAGGGCCAUCGCUCAACGGAUAAAAGGUACUCCGGGGAUAACAGGCUGAUACCGCCCAAGAGUUCAUAUCGACGGCGGUGUUUGGCACCUCGAUGUCGGCUCAUCACAUCCUGGGGCUGAAGUAGGUCCCAAGGGUAUGGCUGUUCGCCAUUUAAAGUGGUACGCGAGCUGGGUUUAGAACGUCGUGAGACAGUUCGGUCCCUAUCUGCCGUGGGCGCUGGAGAACUGAGGGGGGCUGCUCCUAGUACGAGAGGACCGGAGUGGACGCAUCACUGGUGUUCGGGUUGUCAUGCCAAUGGCACUGCCCGGUAGCUAAAUGCGGAAGAGAUAAGUGCUGAAAGCAUCUAAGCACGAAACUUGCCCCGAGAUGAGUUCUCCCUGACUCCUUGAGAGUCCUGAAGGAACGUUGAAGACGACGACGUUGAUAGGCCCGGGUGUGUAAGCGCAGCGAUGCGUUGAGCUAACCGGUACUAAUGAACCGUGAGGCUUAACC